rnacentral:rRNA from 1 species
GACAGAGGGUGCAAACGUUGUUCGGAAUUACUGGGCGUAAAGCGCGUGUAGGCGGAUGAGCAAGUCUGCUGUGAAAGCUCCUGGCUUAACCGGGAGUGGUCGGUGGAAACUGCUCGUCUGGAGGACGGUAGAGGUAGGUAGAAUUCCCGGUGUAGUGGUGAAAUGCGUAGAGAUCGGGAGGAAUACCUGUGGCGAAGGCAGCCUACUGGGCCGGACCUGACGCUCAUGCACGAAAGCGUGGGGAUCAAACAGG